rnacentral:lncRNA from 1 species
GGAUAUUAGGUUUGUUACAAUUUUCCAUAUUUUAUUAUUUCAGGUAUGUAAUUGGUCUUUGAGAGUAACAUUAAUAAUAAAAUAAACAGGAGUUAAUCCAAAAAUUUCAACAAAAAUUCAACAAAAAUGGUUUUGAGGUGGGAUUUUCUUGGCUUUUUUGGCUGAGUUAACCCCUGAAAUCACAGGUGCACAUUUCUUUCCUCCCUCCAUUUGGCCCAGGUGGUGGCAUUCACUCCAGAUUAGAAUUUAAGGCUGCAUCUUGUACUUUGGUGCUAUUUUGUGGUUUAUAAACUGCCCCUACCGAAAAACCCAGGUGUGCCAAACAUAGCAACCUCAGGUGGAGUACCUACAGGGAGUAUUUCUGUCAUCAGGAUGGUCCCAGCUGAUAUAUGUGCAAGGUAAAACAUUACAGAGGAGGCCUUUCCUAUGUAACACAUGGGUAUUGUAUAUUUGCCAGGGUUUCCUUACAACGGCCAGCCUGAAACGGGCCUAGCCCUGCCGAGCAGAACUGCCCAGGUCCUGCCGAGGUGGCGCAGGCCCGCUCCUAGCACAGGCGUCCCUGCCAAGAGGGGUUCCAGCUGGAUCAGUUUUACACGACAGGACUUGGACACCUCAGUGUCCUGUCAUGGCUCUGCCCAUCAUGCAGGCCUUGCUUGCCCUCUCCUGCCUCCACCCCUCGGUAGCAGUGGCUGCGAUCACUGCUGCCAGGUUUUCAGCUGUGGUUUGUUACAAGGCAGGUAUUCCUGCUGGCUUGGUUUGAAGAGUUAA